AACUCCGGUGGGUGGCGGCACUCCAUGGCCGAGGCGCUCAGGCCAUGGCGGGGCAGCGGUGCAGUCUCGGUGGACCUUUGCAACAACGUCCUUGUUGCAAAGCCCCGGAUCGCAACAAACUAGCUGUUGCAAAAGGUCCUCAGCAAGGUUUUGGUUACUGAAUGAGGCAUUUUUAUCGAGGGGUACUGGUAAACGUGGUUACCAAAGUUACCGAGAAAUACCGAGAAUAUUUCAAACAAAUUUUAUAGUUGAAUUUUGAAUUCAAAUAAGUAAAUUAACGAACUUUUGGACCAAAGAUACCUCUCAAAACAAGAACUAGGUUGCUACCAACACACCAGAACCAACUCUCGUGGCAUUAAUUACAUCCUACGUACUUUACUAUAAAUGAGUGCUUAAAUUCAAAAAAAAUCAGAAAAAUGGUAUUUUUUUGCUCGGUAUAUGGAUUUACCGAGGGGCACGGAAAUACGCGGUAACCAUGGGAAAUCUCGAAAUUUUGACCGGUAACCAAAACCUUGGUACUCAGUUGGCUCGGACGGUAGAUCAGACGACUGUUCCGGGUGGCAUCCGACGGCUGCCGAGGCGGAUGAUUUAAUUGUUUUAUCACCCGACGAACGUGUAGCACUGCCCUUUUUUUUGAAAUAUUAAUGUAUUAAAGUUCAAAGUAUAUGUAUUUAGAAUAUUUUGAAAUAUAAAUGGAAAAAUAGAAAAAAAACGCAAGGCUCAUAAAAAAGGGACAUAACACAAAAUAUCCCUACUGGGCCGGCAAGUUGAAGGCUGCCCUGAGGUGGGCACGCCGGACCAGACUCACAUACUCAUAUGGGUUACCUCUAAAGAAAAGCAUAGUCACAUCAGCUGGGCUGUAAAUAACGCAGUUAUUUUUUACUUAUGAAUCGUCAAUAACCUGCUAUAAAUAACAUAUGACUAAAUUUAGCUAUGAUAUAAGCCCUAAUUUAGUAUAAACCAAUUACUUCCAAUAUACCGUCACCUAAAAAAGAACUUCCAACAUACCAAAGAAUAAGAACCAAUUAUUAGAAAGAUAUCCAAAUGAUAUACUUUUGUAUGCAUUAACAACUAUCCUUUUAAUUUGUUACAGACUCGUCUCACUAUAUAAACACUAGCAAAAGGGACGAAGCUACAAGAAAGCAGGAGCAGAACAAUAGCCAGCUACAAAUGAUGGGGCUUAUGAAUAACACCAGGGUGCUGUGUUGGAUAGCUAUUAUUCUUAUGUCCAUCACUUCCUUGUCCUGCCAUGCUGCUGCGAGGAGCACACAUACGAUGGACUUUGGACCUAUUCUUGGGUGUGUAAAGACGGAAACAAAAUGUUCGGUCGUUGGGUGCACGAAGAUAUGUUCCGACCUUGGCUGGAAUACCCACAGAUGCUAUUGUGCCGAUGCUGGCAGUUGCUGCCACUAUGCGGAUGGAAGGCCAUUAAAUUGAUAGUAUAAUGUAUUGUCAUGAGCUCUUCUUUUACAAGGGUGAAUGUCAAUCAUCUAUGCGACUACCGAUCAUAGAUUUAAUAAACUUCUAAACUAUGCAGUUGGAUUAUAUUUAUGAAGUGACUAUUUGAGUGA